UGCUAAUACCGAAUGUUGUCAAGUUUCCGCAUGGGAGCUUGAUUAAAGAUGGCCUCUACUUGUAAGCUAUCGCUUUGCGAUGGGUCUGCGUCUGAUUAGCUGGUUGGUGGGGUAACGGCCUACCAAGGCGACGAUCAGUAGCCGGUCUGAGAGGAUGAACGGCCACAUUGGAACUGAGACACGGUCCAGACUCUACGGGAGGCAGCAGUGGGGAAUCUUCCGCAAUGGGCGAAAGCCUGACGGAGCAACGCCGCGUGAGUGAAGAAGGGUUUCGGCUCGUAAAGCUCUGUUGAUGGGGACGAAUGUGCGAAAUGCGAAUAGUUUUUCGCAAUGACGGUACCCGUCGAGGAAGCCACGGCUAACUACGUGCCAGCAGCCGCGGUAAUACGUAGGUGGCGAGCGUUGUCCGGAAUUAUUGGGCGUAAAGGGAGCGCAGGCGGGAAGGCAAGUCAGUCUUAAAAGUGCGGGGCUCAACCCCGUGAUGGGAUUGAAACUGUCUUUCUUGAGUGCAGGA
rnacentral:rRNA from 1 species